rnacentral:rRNA from 1 species
AUGAAUAAAGCUUUGCUGGCUAAGUGGCUAUGGAAGCUAGAGACAGAAGAUGGGAUGUGGGCCAAAAUUCUUUUAAACAAAUAUGUCAAAGGAAAAUGUAUUUCUGGAGUUAAAAAGAAACCUGGAGACUCUCAUUUUUGGGGAGCUCUGAUGCAGAUCAAAGACAUUUACUAUAAAAAUGUUAAGAAAAAAUUAGGAGAUGGACUAAAUACUAGGUUUUGGGAAGAUUGGUGGGUAGGAUCA